rnacentral:rRNA from 1 species
UCGGCGACCGGCGCACGGGUGAGUAACGCGUAUCCAACCUGCCCUUUACUAUGGGACAGCCCGUCGAAAGGCGGAUUAAUACCGUAUGUUGUCAUGUUGAUGCAUAUUUUCAUGACCAAAGGCUUCGGCCGGUAAAGGAUGGGGAUGCGUCUGAUUAGCUUGCCGGCGGGGUAACGGCCCACCGGGGCGACGAUCAGUAGGGGUUCUGAGAGGAAGGUCCCCCACAUUGGAACUGAGACACGGUCCAAACUCCUACGGGAGGCAGCAG